rnacentral:rRNA from 1 species
AACGAACGCUGGUGGCAUGCCUAACACAUGCAAGUCGAACGAGACCUUCGGGUCUAGUGGCGCACGGGUGCGUAACGCGUGGGAAUCUGCCCUUGGGUGCGGAAUAACAGUUAGAAAUGACUGCUAAUACCGCAUAAUGACUCCGGUCCAAAGAUUUAUCGCCCAAGGAUGAGCCCGCGUCGGAUUAGCUAGUUGGUGAGGUAAAAGCUCACCAAGGCGACGAUCCGUAGCUGGUCUGAGAGGAUGAUCAGCCACACUGGGACUGAGACACGGCCCAGACUCCUACGGGAGGCAGCAGUGGGGAAUAUUGGACAAUGGGCGAAAGCCUGAUCCAGCAAUGCCGCGUGAGUGAUGAAGGCCUUAGGGUUGUAAAGCCCUUUUACCCGGGAUGAUAAUGACAGUACCGGGAGAAUAAGCCCCGGCUAACUCCGUGCCAGCCGCCGCCGUAAAAC